rnacentral:rRNA from 1 species
UACAGAGGGUGCGAGCGUUAAUCGGAAUUACUGGGCGUAAAGCGCGCGUAGGCGGCUUUGCAAGUCGGGUGUGAAAUCCCCAGGCUUAACCUGGGAACUGCGUUCGAGACUGCAUUGCUAGAGUAUGGGAGAGGGAUGCAGAAUUCCAGGUGUAGCGGUGAAAUGCGUAGAUAUCUGGAGGAAUACCGGUGGCGAAGGCGGCAUCCUGGACCGAGAUUGACACUGAUGAGCGAAAGCUAGGGGAGCAAACGGG